CUCAAGCUGGACUGGGUUAGGGCCAUUAAAAUGAUCAAUAAAAAAGGGGCAAUGUAAUUGGGUGUCCCAACCAAUGAAUGUGCAAGACAUCGCUGGUGCUGGCGUGCAGCUCUCCGCUCUAGUGGCUUCAGUCUAUCUCCACAUCGACAGUUAGAAGGGUCGCCCCACUCAUUACUGAAGUCCAUACUAUCUUGCCGUGGAUGGUCACCUGUGUAGUAAGUAUGUAUGUAAAUAAAUAAAUCAAAGCAACAAGAACAAGAGUAAA